CGGCAGCACGGGCUUCGGCCUGGUGGCGAGUGGCGAACGGGUGAGUAAUAUAUCGGAACGUACCCAGAAGUGGGGGAUAACGUAGCGAAAGUUACGCUAAUACCGCAUACGAUCUACGGAUGAAAGUGGGGGACCUUCGGGCCUCAUGCUUUUGGAGCGGCCGAUAUCUGAUUAGCUAGUUGGUGAGGUAAAGGCUUACCAAGGCGACGAUCAGUAGCUGGUCUGAGAGGACGACCAGCCACACUGGAACUGAGACACGGUCCAGACUCCUACGGGAGGCAGCAGUGGGGAAUUUUGGACAAUGGGCGCAAGCCUGAUCCAGCAAUGCCGCGUGAGUGAAGAAGGCCUUCGGGUUGUAAAGCUCUUUUGUCAGGGAAGAAACGGUUGAGGCUAAUAUCCCCGGCUAAUGACGGUACCUGAAGAAUAAGCACCGGCUAACUACGUGCCAGCAGCCGCGGUAAUACGUAGGGUGCAAGCGUUAAUCGGAAUUACUGGGCGUAAAGCGUGCGCAGGCGGUUUUGUAAGUCUGUCGUGAAAGCCCCGGGCUCAACCUGGGAAUUGCGAUGGAGACUGCAAGGCUUGAAUCUGGCAGAGGGGGGUAGAAUUCCACGUGUAGCAGUGAAAUGCGUAGAGAUGUGGAGGAACACCGAUGGCGAAGGCAGCCCCCUGGGUCAAGAUUGACGCUCAUGCACGAAAGCGUGGGGAGCAAACAGGAUUAGAUACCCUGGUAGUCCACGCCCUAAACGAUGUCUACUAGUUGUCGGGUUUUAAUUAACUUGGUAACGCAGCUAACGCGUGAAGUAGACCGCCUGGGGAGUACGGUCGCAAGAUUAAAACUCAAAGGAAUUGACGGGGACC
rnacentral:rRNA from 1 species